AUUGAACGCUGGCAGCAGGCCUAACACAUGCAAGUCGAACGGUAACAGGAAACAGCUUGCUGUUUCGCUGACGAGUGGCGGACGGGUGAGUAAUGUCUGGGAAACUGCCUGAUGGAGGGGGAUAACUACUGGAAACGGUAGCUAAUACCGCAUAACGUCGCAAGACCAAAGAGGGGGACCUUCGGGCCUCUUGCCAUCAGAUGUGCCCAGAUGGGAUUAGCUAGUAGGUGGGGUAACGGCUCACCUAGGCGACGAUCCCUAGCUGGUCUGAGAGGAUGACCAGCCACACUGGAACUGAGACACGGUCCAGACUCCUACGGGAGGCAGCAGUGGGGAAUAUUGCACAAUGGGCGCAAGCCUGAUGCAGCCAUGCCGCGUGUAUGAAGAAGGCCUUCGGGUUGUAAAGUACUUUCAGCGGGGAGGAAGGGAGUAAAGUUAAUACCUUUGCUCAUUGACGUUACCCGCAGAAGAAGCACCGGCUAACUCCGUG
rnacentral:rRNA from 1 species